rnacentral:rRNA from 1 species
GCGGAGGAAAAGAAACCAACAGGGAUUGCCCUAGUAACGGCGAGUGAAGCGGCAAUAGCUCAAAUUUGAAAGCUGGCCUUCGGGUCCGCAUUGUAAUUUGUAGAGGAUGCUUUGGGGCAGCCGCCUGUCUAAGUUCCUUGGAACAGGACGUCAUAGAGGGUGAGAAUCCCGUAUGUGACAGGACAUGGCACCCUAUGUAAAGCUCCUUCGACGAGUCGAGUUGUUUGGGAAUGCAGCUCUAAAUGGGAGGUAAAUUUCUUCUAAAGCUAAAUACUGGCGAGAGACCGAUAGCGCACAAGUAGAGUGAUCGAAAGAUGAAAAGCACUUUGGAAAGAGAGUUAAAAAGCACGUGAAAUUGUUGAAAGGGAAGCGCUUGCAAUCAGACUUGUUCUGACUGUUCGGCCGGUCUUCUGACCGGUUUAUUCAGUCUGGGCAGGCCAGCAUCAGUUUCGGCGGUCGGAUAAAGGCCUUGGGAAUGUGGCUCUGCCUUCGGGUAGAGUGUUAUAGCCCAGGGUGUAAUACGGCCAGCCGGGACUGAGGUCCGCGCUUCGGCUAGGAUGCUGGCGUAAUGGUUGUAAGCGACCCGUCUUGAAACACGGACCAAGGAGUCUAACAUCUAUGCGAGUGUUCGGGUGUCAAACCCCUACGCGUAAUUAAAGUGAACGGAGGUGGGAACCGCAAGGUGCACCAUCGACCGAUCCUGAUGUCUUCGGAUGGAUUUGAGUAAGAGCAUAGCUGUUGGGACCCGAAAGAUGGUGAACUAUGCCUGAAUAGGGUGAAGCCAGAGGAAACUCUGGUGGAGGCUCGCAGCGGUUCUGACGUGCAAAUCGAUCGUCAAAUUUGGGUAUAGGGGCGAAAGACUAAUCGAACCAUCUAGUAGCUGGU